AUGGCUCGUGGUGAUCAUCAAAAUGAUGAUGAUGAUUUCAUGGAUCCACCACAGCGUAAUCGGGCAACUGGACGGAGAAAAGAGGGUGAUGAGAAAAAACGUAUUCGCAACAGAGCCUCCCAAGAACGACUGACUGCAUUGAUUGACAAAUUCACCGAUGAUCAGAAGGGAGCUGCUGCUGAGAUGGGUAUGCGGGCUCUGAUGAAUGUCCGAUGCACGAACCUUGUCAACCCUGUAUGCGACUGGCUUGGUGAGAUUUACGACCCUGCCUCCAGGGAAUUCGUGAUUCCGGGACGUGGAAGACUACCGUUGAACAAGGAAUCCAUGUUCUGCACUUUGGGUGUGCCUCGUGGACAUAUCAAAGUCCUGUACGAGGUCAAUAACGAGAUCGAGGAAGCGUUGUUCCCCUGUUUGUUUCCUGGGUUGGAAUCCAUGCCGACCACGUCUGCCCUGGCAGAUUCGCUGCAGGCCAUGAUGAUGCAUGGAGAUGUUUUCAAGAUGAAGCUACUCAUGUACCUCAUCUCAGCUAUUUUCGCGCCGACCACUUCUCUUUGCCCAAGCAACAAAUGCUUCCCCAUCCUGGUGAAUGAAUCAUCUUUACUACUUUAUUUUCCUUCAAUGUUUCGGCUCCGAUGUCAUGUGUAA
rnacentral:rRNA from 1 species